UGGGUCCGCUCCAAAGCUUCGUGUCGCCCC
rnacentral:piRNA from 1 species